AUAAAAAUGAUGCAAUUAUUAUCAUCAUUAUCGAAGAAACGUCAACGUUAAUUAGUAUCUGGGGUAUGUUAUGCAUUACGCAACUGGAUGCUGAAAAAUGAGGAUUGUCACACUCCCGUGCUCUCCGCACAUACAUUAAAUUGCACUUUUACAAUGGAAGAUGUCCGUUAUUGUAUAGCCGUUACGUUUAAGCUGGAUACAUAACAACAAUAAAUGGCAUUGCUUCUUGUGAACCGAACGUUCAACGCCCAGUCGAGUCUACUAUACUCAUAAUAAAUAUUCAUAUUUAUGCCCUGGCCUGGAAUAUCAAUACGCAGCUCGUGCAAUCAUCCCAUUGAUAGUACCUGCAGUAGCCGCAGUAACGACGACCUAGGUGAUAUCCACAUAACAUCACAGCAUGGACUGGGAGCCGAUCAGUGUGAUAAUGGUUCACAAAUAGGUUCUGAGCAACUCUUCAAAAGUCGAAACAGUUGAAACAGUUCUCGAGAGCGAAACUCAAAGAGUGGAAUUCGUAGACUUCAUCACGAGUGGGUUUGGAGAGAACACACGGACAUUUUUGACGAGUUCGAGUGGCAAAUAUUUGACAGCUGUAACAGUGUACGUUUUGAGAAUCUGAAUAAGACUUUCCAUAUUUUCAGAGACUGCGAUUAAGUUGGAAAAUCUAAGGAAGGUGAUGCACUGAAGUUUAUAUAUCGGCCAGAAGUGAAGAGCAAGCCCUUACACUUGCCAACAUGGAUCGAGAGGAGAAAGUCCACAAAGCCAUUCGCAAGAAGGGAUUUCACGAGAAGGUACAAGCGUCUUUCGUAAUGUACGUGUUCCGACCGGAAACAGCCGUCGGCUUUGCCGUCAUCCUGAUAGGAGUGGCCGUCUUCACAGCGUCGUUGAGGGCGACAUGUCUAGCUGCCGCUGGAUUCUGCGUCGCGUUGGCGGCCGCGUACGUACUUUGGUUCGCCUUGACGUACUUUCUGGCGUACGUGUGGGUAAGGAUUGUGCGGUGGAUGAAGAAGACAGGUCCGUAAGAGGCCCUUGUUUCAGGAUGAAACAAACUUUUUGUCUGGCCACAAACUCUUUCAGCGCGAGAGGAAACAAACUACAAGAUGGACUUUGAAAAGUAAGAUGGACUUUGAAAAGUAAGAUGGACUUUGAAAGUUCAGCUACACAGUGGAAGUUAAAAAAAAGUCUAUAUUUAAGUGCAUUAAAAUAUAAUAAUAGUUCAGAGUUUCUUUUGGAAUUUUUAUUCUGAUCAUCGAAUUUAAGACGAAAGGUGCUAAGGAUGUUAAAAGGUCAACUCUCAAUCUUUGGUGCUAGCAUAGAGGAAGGACAAUUGAACUGCCCGGGCUAGAACAUCUGGCCAAUUACCGCAUGCCCGGUGUUGUCCAUGGCCAGAGCGCAGCGAGCGCUUGCUGCGCGCCAUCUAUUUCACAUCGUAAUCCCUUUGUGCCAGUGAUCGCCGCCGCAAUUUUUCGCUGGUAUAUGUAAUCUGCAUCUUUAAACCUUUAUGUACUGAGGUAUAGGAAAUUGAAUAUUCAAGCUUUGUUGGUGCUUGGUAUGAUCUCAUGACAACAUAUUUAAUGGUUGCGCUGUUACUUGUAAUACGCCGUGUGCCGUAAAUGUACACGUGCAGUCAUUGCUUUUCUUCUGAAGUUAUUUUGGGAAUAAAUAGCCCCGUUGUUUACAAGACUUCGUGUUCUGUUUGAAUCGUUUUUAUUACAGCAUUUGUAAAAAAAUGUAUUUUAGGAGAUUUUAUGAUUACUCCCUGUGAUAACAUAGAGCUUUUUUGUUCCACAUGUAUUUGACUUUCUAGUUGUGGUCAGCUCGUUGUUGGCCAAUCUUGACCAAGUCCUUGAAAUCUGAUGUACUGGAGUGAGGAGAAUAAAAUUACGAACUUUGCAUGGAUAUUCGAACAGUGUAUCAAAAUAAAAAAGUUUCCUAACGAUGGCAAAAGUGGGGCUAAUGUCAAGGAUUCCUCUCUCUCCAUUUCCUGGUCACAUUAGUAUGUAUUUGAUUGCAAGCAAAACACUACAAAUAUUGCAAGGAUAUUACUGGCCCCACUUGUUCGGCUAAGAUGCAGGCAGUAAUCAGUCAUUUUUGUAAUUUUCUCUCCAUUUCGUCCGACUCGGCGGCGACGACGAUCAUUGAGCACUUUGAAGUCCCAGAGCUGCAACUCCUUCUGUGUCCUUCCUCUAUGGCUCUAUAGUUCUAGUAACAAGUGGGGUAAGCUCUGACCCAUUCAUCCUAUAUCUGAAAGGGAAGGGUCUUGUCAAAUACCACUGUCUCCCUUUGUAUCUUUUUUCCCCAACUACCCUUCUGCCGAAGCUCAGACAACGUAGCGCCCUCUGUUGUCAUCUCUAAAACUCUGUAAAUCUGAAAUCUUGUGUCUACUGUUUUUACUUAUCAAAGCUUUCACUGUAUAAUAAGCACUGAGGGUGAACAUGUUUCUUUUUGUCAGGCAUCGAUAAUGAACAUUUAUUUAAAGUCACUUAUGUUGAUACUUCAUGUACUGGCUUAAGGUUAUUAGGUUAAUACUUAUAGAAAGCUUAACAAUAAAAUAUCUAUAUGUUAUUUUGAAAA